AGCGAACGCUGGCGGCAGGCCUAACACAUGCAAGUCGAACGGAUCCUUCGGGAUUAGUGGCGGACGGGUGAGUAACACGUGGGAACGUGCCUUUUGGUUCGGAACAACUCAGGGAAACUUGAGCUAAUACCGGAUGUGCCCUUCGGGGGAAAGGAUUUAUCGCCAUUAGAGCGGCCCGCGUCUGAUUAGCUAGUUGGUGAGGUAAAGGCUCACCAAGGCGACGAUCAGUAGCUGGUCNGAGAGGAUGAUCAGCCACAUUGGGACUGAGACACGGCCCAAACUCCUACGGGAGGCAGCAGUGGGGAAUCUUGCGCAAUGGGCGAAAGCCUGACGCAGCCAUGCCGCGUGAAUGAUGAAGGUCUUAAGGAUUGUAAAAUUCUUUCAGCAGGGACGAUAAUGACGGUACCUGCAGAAGAA
rnacentral:rRNA from 1 species